GGUUGAAAUUGUUUAUUUCGGUCCGCCCAUUUAUCCAAAUACGGAAUAUAAGAUUACGUCAUUCUUUUGGCAUCCUGGUGCCUGAUUUCAGUGUUUUACAAGUCGCUUAUUCCGUAUCUAAAUUUACUUUCUCGCUGGUGGCGCUGUCCAGAAUGAGAAAAAUAAUAAAAAAUAAGAGACUUGUGGCAAGUCGAACCAAGCAACAGAAGGGCGCCCUAUACGUCUGAACCAAGUAUAGAAAACUUGCAUUAUAAAAAGAAAAUGGCGCCGCGUACGUCUGGACCAAUUUCCGCAUCAUUUUUGCAAUACGUGUGCUCUAUCUUGUAUUUCUAGUAUCUUUGAUGCAGGGCUUAAGUUUGAUGUUCUGAUUUUUCACUUUAAAUACGAAUUGAACAUCCGUCAUUAGGAAGUUUUUGAUUGCAACGUAAAUAUUACAUGUCACAAUUUGCCGACUUGGAAGUGCGCUGAUGUAAUUUAUCACAAAAGUCAGUACCUGAAACCGACCACCGUCAAAAUGAAGAUACUACGUCAUACUCCUUUUUAGGCCUACUCUUACUUUUCCGUCGUUUGCAUUAGUAACUUACUAAGGUAAAGUAAAUUUACUUUUAAAAUUAACGUAUAAUGUUUAAAUAGAUGACAAUAACGUAAAACUAAUUAAAAGAAACGUACAGUUACGCCUGUUUUCUUUUCAAAUCUAACCACUUAAAUUGUAAAUUAACGUUUGGAAAUAACUGUUUAAAAAUCACAAUAAUUGAAAACAAAACCAGAAAUCAAUUGUGAAUUUUUUUUUUUUUGUCAUUUUUAAAUACUGCCAUCAACGGAUAAGCUGUAAUAAGACUCAUCACAAGAGGACGGACUACAAAUAUUCUGUGGUUUCAUUUUUAAAAAAAUGAAGCGUCUAGUAGAGAGACUAAAACACUAACGGAAAUCAGAUAUUGACUGCAUCAAGUAAUUGAACCUGUAGAUAGCAGCUCAAUUUCUAUUCGUGUACAAUGCAGGAAAUGAUUUUCUCAAUACAUAUCAUUAUAAGAAGGGGUUACUAUUCAAUAUGAGGUGAAAGUCAGCGCUUAAUUUGAGAAAGCGGUAGCGAUGGAAUAUAUAUCUGCAACCAGUUUGGCUCGAAACAAAGUAUAUAUUUGUCAACGAAUAUAGUGAUUGUUGGAAUAUAUUAACUAUGGAUUUUAAGAGUCGAUUCUUAAGAAUGGACACUUAAGCCCAUCAGCCUUUAACAAGCUAGCAACGUAGUCUUUGAUGUUGUAUUCGAAUAUUUUUAAAGUUAAAAAUCCCAAAUUUAUAUUUGUUGUUCACUAUGUUAUUAGAGAUACUACGUAUAUUCAUUCUUGUAUAUACAAGGCGUUUGUUUCUGACGUUGCCCCAGUGGAAGACAACAGACGGUCCUCUUGAGAUUAUUUAGAAUACAUACAUGCGGCGAUAUGUAGCAAUCACAGAAAUUGGAAUAAGAAUACGUAAAAUGGAACAAAUAAACAAGUUAUUAUAAAUUAGCUGACUAAUGUGUUUGAGUUAUUUUCCCAGUUUAAGCUCUGAAGUGUAUAUACAAAGUAUCUAAAUGUAUAGUUUACUGAUCUUGAGUUAUGCAAAAGUUACAUAAGGCGUUACUGUUGAAAUUAUUUUUAACAUGGGCACGGUGAAUGAAUUUGAUGUUUUGUUGGAUCAUCCGGUGGAGGUAUAUCACCCGGGGGAGACUGUCACUGGACGAGUUGUCUUAUCACUCACAAAGGACCUUGCAAUGAAACAUUUGUAUUCGGCUGAUGGCGCUAUUUGGGAACAACGGAGAUAUUACAUUGACAUCGACUCGGUAAACUACUUUUGACUUCUGAAUCUAGAUACAACGAAAUGGGAAUGGAGUUGGUGUCUAUUACGUCACAAUAUGAACUUAAUAUAGUCUUGGCAGCUAUAGCAUUAUCUGGAUAUUCCAACCAUUAUUUUUACAUCGGUUAUGAUGACGUAACGACUGAGGGAACUUAUGUUUGGAAAUCAGGUUCAGCCCAAAUGCAGGGUUAUCAACCCUGGUCACAAGAUUCUGUAUUCGGUGACACUCACUGACAUGCAGCACGAGUUAUUAUCACGUAUGUGAACUAGAGGGAGCUGACAACUACGUGUUUGUUAAAGACGGAGACACUGUUGACGUGGAUCCUACUGAACAGAAUACCUGUGUUGAAGGGCAUACCAUGCAAGAAAUCAAAGUGCGUAGCCUGAUAGAAUGUAUGUCGUCAUGUUUAUUGGAAGAUGGGUGUCUAUCCGUCAACUACCUUCGCAAAAACAAACACUGACGUCACAAACUGCAAACUGAAUGAUAUCCUCAGGUCUGACUACCCAGAAGACACGUUUACAAUAAACACAUGUGAUUAUUACGAAUUUUAUUACGAGUCUAUACAAUCAAUGGUCAUAUUCGAUUGGACGUUGAUCUUUAAAACACGCAUGGGUAUAAUUUUUAUCAAAAUUAUUUUCCCCCAAUUCAAUAAACUAACGAGGUUCUAAUGGUUCAUAGUAAAUGAAAACAUCCCCCUGGGCCUCUACUCGGGUCCAUCAGGAAUUCCCAUGAUUCGCCAGCAAGACAAAACGGUAUUGCAUGAGUGAUCCCCAAGAAGCCAAAUAGUAGUUAAGUCAUGGAGGUAUAAAUAUAUUUUUAUACCUUCAUGGUUAAGUAAGGUUUUCUGUUUUAAUUGUAUAGACUGUAGCUGAGCAAAAUACAAAUGAGCGUUAUAAGAAUCCGUUAUAAUAAAUUACAACGAUCUAGAAAUAUAUAUAAAAACACGCAUACUGAGGACCUAGACAAUUUUACAUGGCACAAACAACCAUGGUCCAAUAGAAAGAUUCAUCAUACCAUAUUUAUAAAACAUUUAUCACCUCCCAACGACACAUGACACAUUUGAAACAUGUCAAGUUUUAUUUUCAACCAGAGUUUUGAUACUUUCAUCUGGGGUCGCUUGAUGCCCGCUCGACAGAGAUCUUGAAUCUCUCUUUUUGGCAAGCCAGUCUCAUUUAAAUUUGCUUUCUUUUUAUCACUUUUAAUAUGACAAAUAAAUGAAAUGAAAAGAUAUGAAAAAUUAAAUACGGAUCCUAUAAAGAUGCUGUUUUAAAAUAGCGUCACCAACAAUAAUUAGAUUUUUUUAAAGUAAUAUCAAGAAAACUCUGGAACAAUUGUUCUUAGAAAAUCAUUAUAUUGAUCAUAGCCGAAUAAGUCGAUAAGGUCUAUAUGCCAAUAUGCAAACAAAAUAAGCGAGAAAUAGUGUAUUGUUCUAACUAUACACUUACAGUACAUAGGCCUGUACAAAUUAAGCAAAUUUACAUAUUAAACAUAUUUCUAAAUUUAAUCAUAAUUAAGUAAAACAGUGUAUGGUUUAACAAUUUCAUGCUCAGUAAAUUACUAAUUUUUCUGCUUUAAGAAAUAUUGUAUAAAGUGUCUCAAUUUGUAUAGGCCUAUGUAUGUAUAUUAGCAAGCAUUAUAAUGAAAAAUGUAUAACGUAAAACCACGAAUUGAAGCUUCUUUUUUGUGUGCGAAAUUUGAAUGACUUUCAUUUCGUGGCUACGUUUGCAAAUUAAAAAUGGGGCUUCUUUUCUAAAUGAAUGCUGUAGAUUUUGGGAAUUAUUAAUAUAAAACAAUAAAUAGCGCCACUGUAACAUCAAUAUCUAUCAUGGAGUGAAUUAGCAGGCAUUAAAACUACUGUAUAAAUCAAGUGUGUUUAAUUUUUUUCUGUGAAACUUAUGUACAGUGUAUGUAUUGUAGUAUCUCAAAAAAAGCCCAUGCUUUCUUCAACAGAAGCCUAUGGGCUUUCUUUCGAGAUCUGAUUCUUUUAGAGGCUACUUUUGCGAACAAAAGAAGGAGCUUCAGUUCAGAUCAAGUCAAAUCAACGUUUACUUUUCCUUUUGAACAUCAAACAAUGAAUAGAAAAUUC